CCUACGGGUGGCAGCAGUGGGGAAUAUUGCACAAUGGGGGGAACCCUGAUGCAGCAACGCCGCGUGAAGGAAGACGGUUUUCGGAUUGUAAACUUCUAUCAAUAGGGAAGAAAGAAUUGACGGUACCUAAAUAAGAAGCCCCGGCUAACUACGUUCCAGCCGCCGCGGUAAUACGUAGGGGGCAAGGGUUAUCCGGAUUUACUGGGGGUAAGGGGUGCGCAGGCGGUCUGUUAAGUCAGCGGUAAAAGCCCGGGGCUCAACCCCGGCCCGCCGUUGAAACUGGCAGUCUCGAGUUGGAGAGAAGGAUGCGGAAUGCGCGGUGUAGCGGUGAAAUGCAUAGAUAUCGCGCAGAACUCCGAUUGCGAAGGCAGCAUGCCGGCUCCACACUGACGCUGAGGCACGAAAGCGUGGGUAUCGAACAGGAUUAGAUACCCGUGUAGUC
rnacentral:rRNA from 1 species